rnacentral:rRNA from 1 species
AGGAACUAUCCUAGGACUCCACAGGAGCUGUUUAAUCUCAGACACUCUAGCCUUAGAGUUGUUGUUGAGGGGGCAUUUGGAGCUCUGAAGAAUGGAUUUAAGAUCCUAGAUUAGAAGUCAUUCCACACUUUCCUCUCUCGGGUCAAGCUUGUGCUUGCUUGUUGCAUUCUACAUCACUGGAUUCUGCAAUGGGGUUGUGAUGAACUGAUGUCUGAGGAGGAAGAUGUGACGCGUGACAAUGUUGUCAGCUCCGACCAUGGUGUGGAAGCAUUUGACAACGAAGCCUCGAAGAACAAAAGGAUAGAGUGGGCACAGGCAAUGUGGAAUAACAGAGGUUGGACAAAGAUCUGA